AAGACUAUAGACCUGCGGAGUACCUGCGGAGGGAUCAUUAUAGAGUGGUAAACCCUCUGUAAAAGGGGGGGACCUCCUGUCCUUUGUAGGCUCUUUUUUAAAGGGCUUUUUUUAAUUUUCUGCUUCGGUGGGGUUAUCCCACCGGAACAACCUCAAAACUCUGAUCAAAAAAUCGUUCUGUCUGAGAACUUUUUAUAAUAAAAAAAAAACUUUCAACAACGGAUCUCUAGAUCGGAAGAG
rnacentral:misc_RNA from 1 species